CUACUACUUCCUCCGUCCAACAAAAGAUGUCUCAACUUUGAUUAAAUUUGAAUGCAUCUAUACACUAAGUCAUGUCUAGAUACAUCCAAUUUUUGACAAACUUGAGACAUCUUUUGUUGGACGGAGGGAGUAGUAG
rnacentral:pre_miRNA from 1 species